UCCUGGGUAGCUCAGUCGGUAGAGCAUCAGACUUUUAAUCUGAGGGUCCAGGGUUCAAUUCCCUGAGGCGAGGUA